UACGUAGGGUGCAAGCGUUGUCCGGAAUUAUUGGGCGUAAAGAGCUCGUAGGCGGUUUGUCGCGUCGGCUGUGAAAACCUGGGGCUUAACUCCGGGCCUGCAGCCGAUACGGGCAGACUAGAGUUCGGCAGGGGAGACUGGAAUUCCUGGUGUAGCGGUGAAAUGCGCAGAUAUCAGGAGGAACACCGGUGGCGAAGGCGGGUCUCUGGACAGUGACUGACGCUGAGACGCGAAAGCGUGGGGAGCAAACAGG
rnacentral:rRNA from 1 species